rfam:Lupinus angustifolius cultivar Tanjil chromosome LG05, whole genome shotgun sequence.
GACUUUGUGAAAUGACUUGAGAGGUGUAGGAUAAGUAGGAGUUGGAAACAACGGAAGUAAAAUACCACUACUUUUAACGUUAUUUUACUUAUUUCGUGAAUUGGAGGCGGGAUACAACCCCUGUUUUUGGACCCAAGGCCGACCUUGGUUAGUCUAUCUGAGUUUAUCAUUC